rnacentral:tRNA from 1 species
GCAGCUGUGGCCGAGUGGUUAAGACGAUGGACUAGAAAUCCAUUGGGUUUCCCAGCAUAGGUUCGAAUCCUACUGGCUGUG